UACAGAGGGUGCAAGCGUUAAUCGGAAUUACUGGGCGUAAAGCGCGCGUAGGUGGUUUGUUAAGUUGGAUGUGAAAUCCCCGGGCUCAACCUGGGAACUGCAUUCAAAACUGACAAGCUAGAGUAUGGUAGAGGGUGGUGGAAUUUCCUGUGUAGCGGUGAAAUGCGUAGAUAUAGGAAGGAACACCAGAGGCGAAGGCGACCACCUGGACUGAUACUGACACUGAGGUGCGAAAGCGUGGGGAGCAAACAGG
rnacentral:rRNA from 1 species